rnacentral:rRNA from 1 species
CCUACGGGUGGCAGCAGUGGGGAAUCUUGCGCAAUGCUCGUAAGAGUGACGCAGCAACGCCGCGUGAAGGAAGCAGGCUUUCGGGUUGUAAACUUCUUUUAAGAGGGAAGAGCAGAAGACGGUACCUCUUGAAUAAGCCACGGCUAACUACGUGCCAGCAGCCGCGGUAAUACGUAGGUGGCAAGCGUUGUCCGGAUUUACUGGGUGUAAAGGGCGUGUAGCCGGGCUGACAAGUCAGAUGUGAAAUUCCGGGGCUCAACCCCGGACCUGCAUUUGAAACUGUUGGUCUUGAGUAUCGGAGAGGCAGGCGGAAUUCCUAGUGUAGCGGUGAAAUGCGUAGAUAUUAGGAGGAACACCAGUGGCGAAGGCGGCCUGCUGGACGACAACUGACGGUGAGGCGCGAAAGCGUGGGGAGCAAACAGGAUUAGAUACCCUAGUAGUC